AGAGUUGAUCCUGGCUCAGGAUGAACGCUAGCGGCAGGCUUAACACAUGCAAGUCGAGGGGCAACGCGAGUAGCAAUACUUGGCGGCGACCGGCGCAAGGGUGCGUAACGCGUGAGCAACAUGCCCGUAUCAGGGGGAUAAUCCAGGGAAACUUGGUCUAAUACCCCAUAGUAAUUUUUGUAAGGCAUCUUAUAAGAUUUAAAGCUUUGGUGGAUACGGAUUGGCUCGCGUGACAUUAGCUGGAUGGUAAGGUAACGGCUUACCAUGGCUAUGAUGUCUAGGGGUUCUGAGAGGAAGGUCCCCCACACUGGAACUGAGACACGGUCCAGACUCCUACGGGAGGCAGCAGUGAGGAAUAUUGGACAAUGGAUGGAAAUCUGAUCCAGCCAUGCCGCGUGAAGGAAGAAGGUCCUAUGGAUUGUAAACUUCUUUUGUAUGGGAGCAAUAAGGCCUACGAGUAGGUUGAUGAGAGUACCAUACGAAUAAGCACCGGCUAACUCCGUGCCAGCAGCGGC
rnacentral:rRNA from 1 species